AUAUACACAUAUACAAAAACCAUAGGGGGACCUCACUCAAAGUUCUAAACUUAAACCGCUUUUUUAAAUAAAAUCCAUCAUAAAACAGGUCGACAUUUCAGCUCCAAUACGGAGCUUUCAUUAGGAUAACAAACGUAUUCCAAGUGUAUAAAUCAACCAUAUAUAGAUUCAUUUAUUUGGGACAAAAAGCAGCAAAGACUGGCAAGGAACAGGCUAUACAGACCCAUAAUUGGUUGAGGAUUAGGGCUGCCGAACCUAAACUGGGUCUGACCUUCCCAUGUUUUAUGUGUGGUUGAAUAAACCAAGUGCCCUGUUAUCCUUGCAUCUCUCUCCAUUUGGGAUAAGAUACAAUAUAAAUUCCAACUGGCCUCCGAUCCCUCUCCUCUUGCCCUAGUCCUUAGGCAGAGAGAGUGUCCCCAGGGAAUGUGCCCAUGGGAUUUCAAGCAUUUAGAGGAAAGUUGGUAUACAACGCUACAUACACUUCUGGAAUCAGGCAUCUGACAUUAGUUUUUCAUAGUCCCUUUGAUUAAGACCCCUUAUUUUUUUAUUCUCAUAUGGUCAUCAGAAUACUUCCUGAAGAAGGCAAAGAAAUUGUUUAACAAAAUACCAUUAACAACAAGGAGGGCUUUAGCAGUAUAUUGAUUAGGAGUUUUUGGCCCUUUCAAUCAGAGAGGUCAGAGCAACAAUUUAUGAAAAUCACUUCAUGGAUCUGCUGAUUGCCACAACACUCUACCCUCUUUAUAUAAAGUUUGGGAUCCUUGGCAGGAUUUCACAUCCUCAACAGAGAUUGUGUGGACACAUUAGGCGCCCCCACACUUCCUUUUUUCCCCCCUCUUCUCUCCCUAUAAUGUUUGUGAUUACGUGAUUAUUUGCCUUAUGUUUUGUGUCACAUGGUUUAAUGUGUUCUAUAACAAGUGAAACAUGUUUUAUGUGAUGACAAUACCUUAUUAAAACAUUCUUGAUUGUCUCUAAAAAUAAAGAAUUUAAAUGUAUAUUGGUCACUCGUUACUACUAAUCAAAUUCACAGCCCAAUUUAAAACACAUUUUUCAUGCAAAGUUGAAUGUUCUCUGUAUGAAAAAUUGGCCUCAUUUUUAGAUUGAGUCUCUUUACUUUUCACUAUCUAUGGUAAAUGCUAUCAUGGGUUUUCUUAAACAACACUACAAAAAA